UGACUGAUAAGGAAAGGAACAAUGACUAGUAUCAACAAAACAAAAAAAUUAGUGGGAAGUCAAUUAUUAGUUGGUGAUUCAAUUACUUGCGUGCACGAUAAAGGAAGCAUCUGAGAAAUUUAUGUUUUGACGAUAUUGGGAUUUUUUUUUUUCUUUCUUUUAUCGUAUACGACAACAACGGAUGAAGAAGAAACAUGAGAAACUCAAAACAUAGAAGUUUCAAAAAUAUAUAUCGCCAGGUCCCCAUGCAAAGCAUAGGCACGUGCGUCUGAUUUGCAUCAAAGUUUGUAGACAAAUUAUUUUUUUUAC
rnacentral:lncRNA from 1 species